CUUUGCUUUCUCAAAACUGCCCCCGCCCCCACUUCACCCGGAUCACUUCCCAAAACUUAUCCAGAAACGUUUACUUCAACCCAUCGUGUAGAGACGAUCCGAGUGGGCUGCUAGGCUCCGUGGACGGCUCUGUGAGGGCGCAGGGUGACUGCAGCGCGGCCAUUGAGAAGGCUUUUCACUUCCCGCUUCGCUCCCAGCGCCUCUGAGUCACGUCGCCAUCACAGCUCGCCAUGUCAGUUAGCUCGGCUAUCUUUACCAUGUCCGUCUCUAUCAAAGCCGUCUAGUGAACUGUUGCCGGGUGGAAAAGUCCCGCUAAAGAGCCGAGUCCCAACCCAAACAAAGUCCCAGCAGCAGGAGAGCCGAGCGGGCUUCGCCCCCCCUCCCGUCCGCCUGCGCUGAGCGACAUUUUAGCUAGCUGGCUAUCAGGCGAUUCAACUAGCCAGUUUGUCAUCACGGCGAUUUAAACUGGCUCCGAAGAAGGGCAACCCCGACACGAGAGCACACGGGACUCAGUUUGGUUUCUAAACGCACACCAAGUUUUACACCGGUGAACAGAUAAGCUAUGACAACGGCCAGAACGAAAACUGCUGGACGUACCGCAUGUGCGACCCCUAUUGGUGGAUACGAACGCGGCGCCACAAGGGAAAUGACGACAACUGCUGAAGGACUGUCCAAUCACAGAAGGGGAUAUUAAAUGGAUGUGAUAGUGGUUACUAUGACAACAUAUGCCUUGAAAUGGGGUAAGAAGUGGUGAUGGGAACAAUCAGAGAUAAGAGGUAAGGAAAGUUUCUUUGUACGGAAUAUUUCAGCAACAAGCAAGAAAUAUUACAUUUGUGUGAAUAUCAUCAGCACAUUAAUCAUUAUAAAAUAUUUGAAUAAAGACUCAAAUUAAUGUUCCAGUCAUUACAAAGGCAACUCUAAGUUUGUUUGAUGUGAUUUGAAGGAGCUCAGUGUUUCAGUUGUUUUGAAGUUUUAUGGAAGUUUGUUCCAGAUAGCAGGGCUAACAGGGGCCCAGCAGUGAACCCUGGGGGACUCUGGGUGUGAUUAGGCAAGUCUCAAACCAGUUAAGUACUGGACCAGACAGAGUAGAUGAACUAAUAUUUAACCAUUAGCAUUGUCCACAACAAGUGACAAAAUAUGGAGAUAUUUUGACCCCCAUAUCUGCUAUUCCUAAAGCUGACACAAAAAAGGUAUAAUACCUGUCUGCUAAUAUUUG